rnacentral:rRNA from 1 species
UACGGAGGAUGCGAGCGUUAUCCGGAUUUAUUGGGUUUAAAGGGUGCGUAGGCGGACGCUUAAGUCAGCGGUAAAAUUGCGGGGCUCAACCUCGUCGAGCCGUUGAAACUGGGUGCCUUGAGUGGGCGAGAAGUACGCGGAAUGCGUGGUGUAGCGGUGAAAUGCAUAGAUAUCACGCAGAACUCCGAUUGCGAAGGCAGCUUACUAAGCCAUAACUGACACUGAAGCACGAAAGCGUGGGGAUCAAACAGG